rnacentral:rRNA from 1 species
UUAAUAAGCGGAGGAAAAGAAACUAACAAGGAUUCCCUCAGUAACGGCGAGUGAAGCGGGAGGAGCUCAAAUUUGAAAUCUCCGAUGCUUGCAUCGGCGAGUUGUAAUUGCGAGAAGCACUUUCUAGGCGGAUCGGUGGUGCCUAAGUUGCUUGGAACAGCACGUCGCAGAGGGUGACAACCCCGUCUGUGGCGCAACCGGCCGCUGACGAUGUGCUUUCGAAGAGUCGGGUUGUUUGGGAAUGCAGCCCAAAAUGGGUGGUAAACUCCAUCUAAAGCUAAAUACUGGCGUGAGACCGAUAGCGA